rnacentral:pre_miRNA from 1 species
UUAACUUAAAUUUUGUAUGCAGUUGGAACAGCGCUCCUAGCGGCAAACGUAGGCAAACAUUCCAUCUCCAUACAAAUUUGAGUUA